rnacentral:rRNA from 1 species
CCUACGGGGGGCAGCAGCUAAGAAUAUUCCGCAAUGGACGAAAGUCUGACGGAGCAACGCCGCGUGGAUGAUGAAGGUCGGAAGAUUGUAAAAUCCUUUUAUUAUUGAAGAAUAAACUGUACAGGGAAUGGUAUAGAGGUGACAGUAGGUAAUGAAUAAGCACCGGCUAAUUACGUGCCAGCAGCCGCGGUAACACGUAAGGUGCGAGCGUUAUUCGGAAUUAUUGGGCGUAAAGGGCACGCAGGCGGUUAUGCAAGCUUGGUGUGAAAUACUGGGGCUUAACCCCAGAACUGCAUUGAGAACUGCAAGACUAGAGUCAGUGAGGGGAAAUCGGAAUUCCAGGUGUAGGGGUGAAAUCUGUAGAUAUCUGGAAGAACACCAAUGGCGAAGGCAGAUUUCCAGCGCAUGACUGACGCUCAGGUGCGAAGGUGCGGGGAUCAAACAGGAUUAGAUACCCGGGUAGUC